CCUACGGGUGACUGCAGUCGAGAAUCAUUCACAAUGGGAGAAACCCUGAUGGUGCGACGCCGCGUGGGGGAAUGAAGGUCUUCGGAUUGUAAACCCCUGUCAUGUGGGAGCAAAUUAAAAAGAUAGUACCACAAGAGGAAGAGACGGCUAACUCUGUGCCAGCAGCCGCGGUAAUACAGAGGUCUCAAGCGUUGUUCGGAAUCACUGGGCGUAAGGCGUGCGUAGGCUGUUUCGUAAGUCGUGUGUGAAAGGCGCGGGCUCAACCCGCGGACGGCACAUGAUACUGCGAGACUAGAGUAAUGGAGGGGGAACCGGAAUUCUCGGUGUAGCAGUGAAAUGCGUAGAUAUCGAGAGGAACACUCGUGGCGAAGGCGGGUUCCUGGACAUUAACUGACGCUGAGGCACGAAGGCCAGGGGAGCGAAAGGGAUUAGAUACCCUGGUAGUC
rnacentral:rRNA from 1 species